rnacentral:rRNA from 1 species
GGCAACGGAUAUCUCGGUUCUCGCAUCGAUGAAGAACGUAGCGAAAUGCGAUACUUGGUGUGAAUUGCAGAAUCCCGUGAACCAUCGAGUCUUUGAACGCAAGUUGCGCCCGAAGCCAUUAGGUCGAGGGCACGUCUGCCUGGGCGUCACGCAUCGCGUCGCCCC